UUUUUAAAUGCCCUUUAUACAUUUUGGCUAUUUUAAAUUCGAAUCGAAUAAUAACUCCUCUUAAGAUACUCUCAUCGAUAUGUGUUUACAAUUAUACGUUAACGUAUUUAUUAUGCAGGGUGGUUCAAAACUAUAUGUCGGAAAUGUAAAGGCAAAUAAAGGGGACCUAAAUAAGCAGAUUUUAUAUAGGAAUGUGGGUGCAGAAAUGCUGCGAGAGGGUGCUAUUGAGUUCCACGGAAGAAAGCGCUUCGCUGACUUGAAUCGCUUUUCCUCACACGGAUUUUGAGCAACAUUUGACCUGCUUAGAUUUCUUUUGGGGUUACAUUAAAAACAUUGUGUACGAUACUCCCAU
rnacentral:lncRNA from 1 species